AGGAGGUUUUGGAUCCUGGGGCUCAGAAUGAACGCUGGCGGCGUGCUUAACACAUGCAAGUCGCGCGAGAAAGUCGGCUUCGGCUGGCCAGUACAGCGGCGGACGGANUGCGUAACACGUGGGUAACCUGCCUGGGUGUGGGGGACAACUUGGGGAAACUCGAGCUAAUACCGCAUACGCUCCUAGGACUUCGGUCCGAGGAGGAAAGCUGGCCUCUUCUUGAAAGCUAGCGCUCCCAGAGGGACCCGCGCUCGAUUAGCUUGUUGGUGGGGUAAUGGCCUACCAAGGCGACGAUCGAUAGCCGGCCUGAGAGGGUGACCGGCCACACUGGGACUGAGACACGGCCCAGACUCCUACGGGAGGCAGCAGUGGGGAAUAUUGGACAAUGGGCGAAAGCCUGAUCCAGCAACGCCGCGUGGAGGACGAAGGCCCUCGGGUCGUAAACUCCUGUCAGUAGGGACGAAAAAGUAGGGUCGAACAGGCCCUGCCAUUGACGGUACCUGCAGAGGAAGCCCCGGCUAACUCCGUGCCAGCAGCCGCGGUAAUUACGGAGGGGGCUAGCGUUAUUCGGAAUUACUGGGCGUAAAGGGCGUGUAGGCGGCUUUGAUAGGUCAAAGGUGGAAAUCCCUCGGCUCAACCGAAGGAACUUGGCCUUUGAAACCNUCUGGCUCGAAGGCUGGGNAGGGGGUUAGC
rnacentral:rRNA from 1 species